ensembl:snRNA U6 U6 spliceosomal RNA
GUGCUCGCUUCCGCAGCACAUAAAUGAAAAUUGGAACGACACAGAGAAGAUUAGCAUAGUCCCUGCACAAAGAUGGCAUGCAAAUUUGUGAAGCAUCCCAUAUUUUU